rnacentral:rRNA from 1 species
GACGAACGCUGGCGGCGUGCUUAACACAUGCAAGUCGAACGGAAAGGCCCUGCUUUUGUGGGGUGCUCGAGUGGCGAACGGGUGAGUAACACGUGAGUAACCUGCCCUUGACUUUGGGAUAACUUCAGGAAACUGGGGCUAAUACCGGAUAGGAGCUCCUGCUGCAUGGUGGGGGUUGGAAAGUUUCGGCGGUUGGGGAUGGACUCGCGGCUUAUCAGCUUGUUGGUGGGGUAGUGGCUUACCAAGGCUUUGACGGGUAGCCGGCCUGGGAGGGUGACCGGCCACAUUGGGCCUGCGAUAGGGCCCAGACUCCUACGGGAGGCAGCAGUGGGAAAUCUUGCACAAUGGGCGGAAGCCUGAUACAGAAGCGCCGCGUGCGGGAUGACGGCCUUCGGGUUGUAAACCGCUUUCGCCUGUGACGAAGCGUGAGUGACGGUAAUGGGUAAAGAAGCACCGGCUAACUACGUG